AUUGAACGCUGGCGGCAUGCCUAACACAUGCAAGUCGAACGAGUGGCGGACGGGUGAGUCAUGUCUGGGAAACUGCCCGAUGGAGGGGGAUAACUACUGGAAACGGUAGCUAAUACCGCAUACCAUCGGAUGUGCCCAGAUGGGAUUAGCUUGUAGGUGGGGUAAUGGCUCACCUAGGCGACGAUCCCUAGCUGGUCUGAGAGGAUGACCAGCCAAACGGGAACUGAGACACGGGCCAGACUCCUACGGGAGGCAGCAGUGGGGAAUAUUGCACAAGGGGCGCAAGCCUGAUGAAGCCAUGCGGCGGGUAUGAAGAAGGCCUUCGGGUUGUAAAGUACUUUCAGCGAGGAGGCGUUACUCGCAGAAGAAGCAACGGCUAACUCCGUGCCAGCAGCCGCGGUAAUUC
rnacentral:rRNA from 1 species